rnacentral:lncRNA from 1 species
CAAAGCUUAAAGAAGAUUGCAAGUUAAACACAGAAAAAAUGAAAAAGGAACCUCGAAUCAUUAGGGUUUUCAUAGAAAGGCCUCAAAACGGCGAGAAAAGCCUGAACGGGCUCAUCGGAGCUUGGAAAGGACCCAAGGCUUUAAAGGCUUCCGGAGAAAAGCCUGACACAGCCGUGAAACUCCAUUGAAGGACCUCUGGUCCAUUCACACUCGCGAUAAUGUCCCGAUCUUCGAACCCAAGGCCAGGAGAGGUGAUGAGUGGACGAGCAUGGCUGUUUCAAAGCCUUGAACGGCCAUUAACGCGGCGAAGAGGGCGUGAGGCGACUUGUAUUUUCAGAGAACCUAGAGAACAUUUGAGAGUGAAAGGCGGUGGACUUGAGUAAAUGAUUGGGGCUAAGGGGGUUUUCGGGAAUUUAAUUAGGUAAGUCAAUUUUCGGCCGUUAAUCUAUGAGAUCAACGGCCAGGCUUAGAGAGAGGGAACAUGUGGGUUAAGUUCAUCGAGUUUGGGUCGAGUGUAUUUGAAUUUGGGUCAAGUAAAUAUGGG